rnacentral:misc_RNA from 1 species
GAUGAAGAACGUAGCGAAAUGCGAUAAGUAAUGUGAAUUGCAGAAUUCAGUGAAUCAUCGAAUCUUUGAACGCACAUUGCGCCCGCCAGUAUUCUGGCGGGCAUGCCUGUUCGAGCGUCAUUUCAACCAUCAAGCCCCCGGGCUUGUGUUGGGGACCUGCGGCUGCCGCAGGCCCUGAAAAGCAGUGGCGGGCUCGCUGUCACACCGAGCGUAGUAGAUUUUAUCUCGCUCAGGGCGUGCUGUGGGUUCCGGCCGUUAAACCACCUUCAUAACCCAAGGUUGACCUCGGAUCAGGUAGGAAGACCCGCUGAACUUAAGCAUAUCAAUAAGCGGAGGA